UCCCUGGAGGCCUAGUGGUUAGGCCACAGCGCUCUCGCCGCUGACAAGGGUUCGAUUCCUGGCCAGGAAA